rnacentral:misc_RNA from 1 species
AAGUCGUAACAAGGUCUCCGUAGGUGAACCUGCGGAGGGAUCAUUAACACGUUUUACACGUAUCCAUAUCAAACCAACCGCGAUCGAGAGAGCAUUUAUGCUCCAAUCUCCCUACCACCUGGUGUCGCUUUGAAAAAUUCGUAAUGGGAUUUGUAUAGACUUAAUUGGCUUACAAUUCGGUUUUUCAUUGCUUGCAUUUCGAAUGCGAGACAUUUGGGCUGUUAGGCUUAUUUUACUUAUCAUUACGAGUGCAAACCCGUUUCACCCCAUUUAAUGACAUCGGCCUGAUUACUUACUACUGAGAAAUCUUUGGUAAGCCAAAAAUGAAUUUUGAUAUUCAAACUAUUAGCACAACUCUUAGCAACGGAUAUCUUGGUUCUC